rfam:Triticum aestivum genome assembly, contig: Triticum_aestivum_CS42_TGACv1_scaffold_228101_3B
CAACUACUCCCUUUGUCCCAAAUUUCUUGUCUUAGAUUUGUCUAGAUACGGAUGUAUCUAAUACUAAAAUGUGACUUGAUACAUCCGUAUCUAGACAAAUCUAAGACAAGAAUUUUGGGACGGAGGGAGUACUUU